UAUCUAUAGCAUUUCCCUCUUCGACUCCGUGGACGUUUAACGAACGCGUGGUCACGCUUUUCCGAGCUUUCAGCCUUUCAGAGGCGCAUACGAGCACGUGAUGCCUCGCUGCCAAAGCGAUAAAGCCACUUGUCCGUUGUCCGAGAUCACGCUCGUGAUUUCAUUCCGCCGGUUUGUCCUUUUAAGCAGCACGACCGAUGUUCGUCGGAUUCGUUAGUCGGGUUCCUUUCGAUUCCGCGAAACCUCCUACGUUCGUCGUUUAUAAUUCACAUGUGCUUGUCCGGCGAUCGUUCACCACUGAAAAUAAAAUGAUAGAUUCGUGUGAGUGUCUUUGUAAGAAUGUAAGGUCGUUUAACAAAGAGAUCGUUAGUGAAAUAUCAUGGAUAAUACAGUGCUAUUUUAAAUAAGCGUAAACGUAGAGUGAACGUGAAUUAGACGCAAGAAAGAUUGAGAAGAGUAACAUAAACAUGUGUUAGCUUUAAUGGUAUCCAUUAUCGUGAUAGGCAACUUUCUCUGUCAGAUUCACGCUCGAUGCAUCUUCAUUAGAAGCGACUCGUGAUUAGGAAGAAUGGAAGAUUCUUUCGAAAUUUUAUCGAGCUCGAGUUUCAUCGAGACUCUUUCCAUAUUAUCAUUUAUCCUUGAUCGAUCUCGAUCCUCGGUCGAUAAUCCGGUAGUCUUCUGGUAUACAUAUAUACUGAGAACUUGAUCACCUGAUUAUGACGCAGGUUUUCUACAGAGGUACGCAACUAAUGCGAGGUUUUAUGUUUAUUUUCUUCUAUCGUGUAAUAAAUAAUUUCCCUACUCCAACGACAUUUUAAAACUACUCUUCAACAGAUUCACUGAUAAUCUUAAAUCUAUUGUAAUAUUCGUUAAUCUGCAGAAUGAAAAGAAAAAAUUAUUUAACAAUAAAUUUUAUAGAUAGAAUCGAUUUAUCUCGUAUUAGUAUAUAUUUAUUAGCGCGAAAAUAAUAUUUGCAAGCAACAGUUCAGUCAUUGCGUUUGUUACCUCACGCUUGAGUACUCCUUGCUGCCGGAAAUAAUGCAUGCAUCUAUGAAUUAAACUCCUACCGAUAAGUGUGAAUACGUGUAUUUUAAUUUGCAUCGAGUCAUUUAAGAAACGACACAGUCUUAUUUUUAACUACUUGCAAAGACUCGUACAAAAGUCUCCAAGUGCAGAUACAACAAAUCUACUGACAUACGUGCGAAGAAUUGCAAAUCAUGCAUGCUGAUUCAAAAACUCGACGACCUCCCACCGCGUCUACAACAAGUCAGACCGUCAGACGUCUUUUAAUCGUCGUGUCUUAAUUACAUCCUGCUCUCGCUCCUUCGCAUGUGAGCGAAGCCGUGGACACUUCACGUAUCCCUUCGGGUCGUUUCAACGACCAAAUCCAAUCGAUUCAUUAAAUAAAUGACGGUAGAAGAAAGGAUACAAUUAGCUUGUUAGUCAAGCAGGAUGUUUUCCGCACUAACAAAUAAACCACGAAGGAACAAAUCGAUUAUUAUACCGUUCAAGACAGCUAGGAAAUUAUUUGCUCAAGUGACUUCAUCAAUGGGUAAGAAUUCGAUGCUUAAAGAGCUCCAAUAUUUCAUACAGGUAAUCGCCAAAUACAUAUAAUCUAACAUAAAAUAUUGUAUACAAAUAUAUUUUUUAUAAUGAUUUAUAAAUAUAGCUACCUAAUCCUUCUUUUCGAAUGGAAUCUACACAAUAAUUGCGAAAAAGCGAAGUUAGUGAUCGUGUAGACUGUGAUCUUUCAUCGAUCAUACUCUUGUCAGAAACAUCGACUAUUGUUAGAUUAUUAGCUGGAUAAUCGAGCAAUCGACCGAGUCAUGCUAUUGAUCUCAGUCUGUAAUUACAGUGUUAAAAAAAGAAUGGUGUCUAUCUCUUUGUAAUUUUAUGACAGGAUAAAAAGCUGUUACGACACCAUCCGUGAAGAUAAUCAGUUCGUUUGUUCAUCCUGUAAUUCAAGAGGAUCGAGCAUCGAUAACCGAUGAAACUGCAUUGUUGAAGAUUCUUUAUUCAUGUGCAAAUAUUUACACCAAUAUGAUGUGCAAUGAUGUGCAAAAUAGAAUGCAAAGCUCCGUAGAUAAGAUGCGUAAUGAAAGAAAGAAGUGUGUACGAUGAUCAAGUAUGGCAUCAAUACAUCCAACGAAAUAUUCUACACCCCUAAUAAAUUAGAGAUAAAUAGUUUGAACAUGCACGGACCUUCAGAAUAAUUACUAGAGUAUUAUGACAGUUUUUCUUUUAUAUUUAAGUAAUAAGUAAUAAGAUUAACAUGAUCGAUGAUCACUUACCAAUAUUAUUAGAACGAUGUCUCUCUAUGAUUCUAAUUUCCGCCAAACUAUCCAGUAUAGUAGCAGACGAUGUACACGUUUCCACUAUUUAGACACGUUGCUCGGACAAUUCAUCGAUGGAUCACACGAUUUAACCGCGUUGAGCCGCCGCGCGCAAUAAGCCACUUUCGUCUGACGAAACUUUCCACUAGCGAUAUCUCCAUGAAGCAUGGCAAGCUCGGCAGGUACACAGUCGGGCCACGGACAUGGGUCGUACACCUACGACUCCUUUUUGAUUCGAGUCAUGGUGGAGAACCCAAGGACACAAACCAGCAUCAAGCACUCGAUAUGCGUGCACGUAUAAGGUGUCCAAGAAUUUCAGUACUCUCCGGAUUUAUGUAUCUACUUCGACGCCUUAUUGUUAAUUACUCCUUACAAUACGUUCCUUUACGAUCUAUUUCUUAUACAAGUUGUCCAAAAGUCAUAUUAAUUAACUCCAUAAAUUGACAAGUACAAAGAUAAGAAUUUAUGCCUAUUUACGCCACUUUCCUACGAUAAAUAAGCUUAUGGAAAUACAUAAUUUGUUCCUUCGAGUCGUUUAAUAUCAAUCACGUAUCUAGGUAGUCAAAUUGAGAAACUUAGAAAAGAUGAAGUUGAUUAGUUCGACUUCUGCAAAGCUUGUAUAUUUAUUAUAUAUUAUAUAUGUAUAGUCCAUCGUAAGAAUGAGAAUAUUGAUUCAUUACAAGAUUUCUAAUGAAAUCAUUGAAAUUUAAAAAUUCCAGUUUAAAAGAUUGCAUUUUGUAUGAAGUAUGAACUUGUCUGUUUUUGAUCAAUAAGUCAGGAUUUGAGUACAGAUCGAAUAUUUUAUCGUACAUAUAAAUAGAUGAUGAUAUCGGAGUUUAGUUAUUUGUAGACCAAUCGAUAUUUCAAUUUUGAAUAUCCGCUUCUGAAAAUUCUUCCCGCCCGUUCAUCGAUGGAUUGUAUCGCGAACAAAAUCUACACUUACGCAACUGGCAUAGCAGGCAUUCUUAUGCUUUCUAAACACGAGAAACAUCGUUAGAAUUAGUCUGAAUUCAAGAAAUACAUCCAAGAAAAAGAUAACAUUUAUGGAAAGUUUGUACACGUGCAUAACAUAUAUGCUCAUUUUGCCAAACAGGUUGACACUACAAAACAAAAAAUAUAAAAAUUGAUGAAAUUAUAUGAGAUAAGUAUUAAUGUAGUGCUUUGGUAUUAAAAUUUCAAAAAUUUUAAAAAGCGAAGUUGACCACUUUGGCUUAUGAUGUACCUAAUCAAAUCAACAAAAGUAUAUCAGAAUUUUAAUACACCGUGUACGUAGGUGCGUAUACCUGUGGGUACGCACACAGUUAAUUCAUCGAUGACUAACACACUCGGCUCAAUGGCAUGAAAAGAACCUCGAUAACACUUUAUGACUUCCGUCGUCUCGCUACACGAAGGUCGUCGUUCGACAAGUUUGUGUGUCAAACCGAUAUAUAAAAACGAGACAUCAUCUGAUCGUGAAAAUCGUUAUGACAAUAUAUGGAACACUUUCUCAAAACAAGUUGCACCCUUUAUAGGAAAUACAGUCGGAGACAAAAAUAAAUGCACAGAUGGUGAAAGUAUCGAUGAAAUUUAAAGAAACUAGUGCUAUUGUUAUACAUACCUAAGGUUUAUCUAUUAUAUGCCAUUAUAGUGCGUAGGUUAUUUAGUAAAUAACUUAAAUUAAUAUUUACAUUUUUGUAUAAACAAGCAAAAUAUUUAACAAAACAUUAUUGAUACCUAUUUCCACUAUUAUUUGUUCACUUAUUUUUGUUUUCGAUUAUAUUUCAAUUUCAAUUCUCGUUUUAUAUUUCAAUUUUGAUUCUCGUUUUAGGGAUCGUUUCGAUUCUCGUUUUAUGGAUCGUUUCGAUUUUCCUUUUGGGGAUCGUUUCGAUUCUCGUUUACAUACAAAUCAAUUUGAUCGAUAAUGAUACAUUUUUAUUUCUUGGGAUAAGUACAUAUAUUUACUCAUUAUUGGAAUUAUUUUGUUAUAUAUAUUGCGUUCUUUAUAUAUAAAAUAUCUACUAAUAAAAACAGAAUGUAAUAGAUAGAUAAAAAUUAAAAAAAUAAAUAAAUAAUAAGUAAAUAAAAAAUACGAUACCUGUAUUAUAAUGCAACUCAUGUAAUGUUUGUCUAUGCAAUCGUACACGUAUCAUUAAAUAUAGAUAUACAUAUCUAUGUACGUACGUAAAAGUGAUAUUUUUGUUUAAUGAAUAUGCAAAAAAUUGUAUAUUCUAGUUUCUCCAACAGAUUAUUUUUCAAGAAGAUGGGUGUUAUCGUAGAAUAUUUUAAUUUUGAAGCACAUGUAUAUAACUGUGUAUCGUAAUCCAAUAUUUCUAUCAAUUUCUAUCUGUGCUACUAAUCCAUAGGUGAACAAUAGUUUCCUACUUCGAUUUCUGGUAAACCUAUUUCGUCAAUAACAACAAUCUCUAUUAGAUUCCUAAACCUUCGAUUUGUAAUUAUGUACUUUUUAUAUAAAAAAAUUUGAGUAAUAACACUAACAAUUUAGAGAACUUUUUAAACGGAAAAGAAAGAUUAUAAUUUAAAAAAUUCAAUUACAGU